rnacentral:lncRNA from 1 species
ACAAAUCCUUCCCAACGGAGACUUCAUUGUGAUAGGAGGCCGCAGGUCUUUCAGCUAUGAGUUCCUCCCAAGACAAGAAGGAAAAUCUGUAGACAAACCCUUCUUCUUCCCAUUCCUCUAUGAGACCGCGGACAUUGAUGAGAACAACCUCUACCCUUUUGUCCACCUCUCCACCGACGGCAACCUCUUUGUCUUCUCCAACAACCGCUCGGUCCUACUCAACCCCAACAACAACAAAAUCGUCCGCACCUACCCCGUCCUCCCCGGCGGCUCUCGGAACUACCCAGCUUCUGGCAUGUCCACUCUCCUUCCCAUAAAUCUCACUACCACCA